rnacentral:rRNA from 1 species
CUGAGUACGGCGGAACACGUGAAAUUCCGUCGGAAUCCGGGAGGACCAUCUCCCAAGGCUAAAUACUCCCUAGUGACCGAUAGUGAACCAGUACCGUGAGGGAAAGGUGAAAAGCACCCCGGAAGGGGAGUGAAACAGUUCCUGAAACCGUGUGCCUACAAGUAGUUAGAGCCCGUUAAUGGGUGAUAGCGUGCCUUUUGUAGAAUGAACCGGCGAGUUACGAUUUGUUGCAAGGUUAAGCGGAAAAAGCGGAGCCGUAGCGAAAGCGAGUCUGAAUAGGGCGCAUAAGUAACAGGUCGUAGACCCGAAACCAGGUGAUCUACCCAUGUCCAGGAUGAAGGUAAGGUAAUACUUACUGGAGGUCCGAACCCACGCACGUUGAAAAGUGCGGGGAUGAGGUGUGGGUAGCGGAGAAAUUCCAAUCGAACUUGGAGAUAGCUGGUUCUCUCCGAAAUAGCUUUAGGGCUAGCCUCGAGGUAAAGAGUCAUGGAGGUAGAGCACUGUUUGGACUAGGGGCCCUUCUCGGGUUACCGAAUUCAGAUAAACUCCGAAUGCCAUGUACUUAUACUCGGGAGUCAGACUGCGAGUGAUAAGAUCCGUAGUCGAAAGGGAAACAGCCCAGACCACCAGUUAAGGUCCCCAAAUAUAUGUUAAGUGGAAAAGGAUGUGGGGUUGCUUAGACAACCAGGAUGUUGGCUUAGAAGCAGCCACCAUUGAAAGAGUGCGUAAUAGCUCACUGGUCGAGUGACCCCGCGCCGAAAAUGUACCGGGGCUAAACAUAUUACCGAAACUGUGGAUGAACCUCUUUAGAGGUUCGUGGUAGGAGAGCGUUCUAAGGGCGGUGAAGUCAGACCGGAAGGACUGGUGGAGCGCUUAGAAGUGAGAAUGCCGGUAUGAGUAGCGAAAGAAGGGUGAGAAUCCCUUCCACCGAAUAUCUAAGGUUUCCUGAGGAAGGCUCGUCCGCUCAGGGUUAGUCGGGACCUAAGCCGAGGCCGAUAGGCGUAGGCGAUGGACAACAGGUAGAGAUUCCUGUACCAGUGCUAAUUGUUUAACCGAUGGGGUGACACAGAAGGAUAGGGAAUCGCACGAAUGGAAAUGUGCGUCCAAGCAGUGAGUGUGAGAAGUAGGCAAAUCCGCUUCUCGCGAAGCAUGAGCUGUGAUGGGGAAGGAAAUUAAGUACGGAAGUUCCUGAUUUCACGCUGUCAAGAAAAGCCUCUAGGAAGAGUAGUACUGCCCGUACCGCAAACCGACACAGGUAGAUGAGGAGAGAAUCCUAAGGUGAGCGAGAGAACUCUCGUUAAGGAACUCGGCAAAAUGACCCCGUAACUUCGGGAGAAGGGGUGCUCUAUUAGGGUGCAAGCCCGAGAGAGCCGCAGUGAAUAGGCCCAGGCGACUGUUUAGCAAAAACACAGGUCUCUGCAAAACCGUAAGGUGACGUAUAGGGGCUGACGCCUGCCCGGUGCUGGAAGGUUAAGAGGAGUGCUUAGCUUCGGCGAAGGUACGAAUUGAAGCCCCAGUAAACGGCGGCCGUAACUAUAACGGUCCUAAGGUAGCGAAAUUCCUUGUCGGGUAAGUUCCGACCCGCACGAAAGGCGCAACGAUCUGGGCACUGUCUCAACGAGAGACUCGGUGAAAUUAUAGUACCUGUGAAGAUGCAGGUUACCCGCGACAGGACGGAAAGACCCCGUGGAGCUUUACUGCAACCUGAUAUGGAAUGUUUGUACCGCUUGUACAGGAUAGGUAGGAGCCGAAGAGACGUGUGCGCUAGCAUACGAGGAGGCAAUGGUGGGAUACUACCCUGGCUGUAUGACCAUUCUAACCCGCCACGCUUAGCGCGUGGGGAGACAGUGUCAGGUGGGCAGUUUGACUGGGGCGGUCGCCUCCUAAAGAGUAACGGAGGCGCCCAAAGGUUCCCUCAGAAUGGAUGGAAAUCAUUCGCAGAGUGUAAAGGCACAAGGGAGCUUGACUGCGAGACUGACAAGUCGAGCAGGGACGAAAGUCGGGCUUAGUGAUCCGGUGGUUCCGCAUGGAAGGGCCAUCGCUCAACGGAUAAAAGCUACCCCGGGGAUAACAGGCUUAUCUCCCCCAAGAGUCCACAUCGACGGGGAGGUUUGGCACCUCGAUGUCGGCUCGUCGCAUCCUGGGGCUGUAGUCGGUCCCAAGGGUUGGGCUGUUCGCCCAUUAAAGCGGCACGCGAGCUGGGUUCAGAACGUCGUGAGACAGUUCGGUCCCUAUCCGUCGCGGGCGCAGGAAAUUUGAGAGGAGCUGUCCUUAGUACGAGAGGACCGGGAUGGACACACCGCUGGUGUACCAGUUGUUCCGCCAGGAGCAUCGCUGGGUAGCUAUGUGUGGCAGGGAUAAACGCUGAAAGCAUCUAAGCGUGAAGCCCCCCUCAAGAUGAGAUUUCC